rnacentral:tRNA from 111 species
UGGGCCGAGCUGGAUUUGAACCAGCGUAGACAUAUCGUCAACGAAUUUACAGUCCGUCCCCAUUAACCGCUCGGG